CCUACGGGAGGCAGCAGUGAGGAAUAUUGGUCAAUGGACGAGAGUCUGAACCAGCCAAGUAGCGUGAAGGAUGACUGCCCUAUGGGUUGUAAACUUCUUUUAUAAAGGAAUAAAACGAGGCACGUGUGCCUUUUUGCAUGUACUUUAUGAAUAAGGAUCGGCUAACUCCGUGCCAGCAGCCGCGGUAAUACGGAGGAUCCGAGCGUUAUCCGGAUUUAUUGGGUUUAAAGGGAGCGUAGAUGGGUUGUUAAGUCAGUUGUGAAAGUUUGUGGCUCAACCGUAAAAUUGCAAUUGAUACUGGCAGUCUUGAGUACAGUUGAGGUAGGCGGAAUUCGUGGUGUAGCGGUGAAAUGCUUAGAUAUCACGAAGAACCCCGAUUGCGAAGGCAGCUUACGAAACUGUGACUGACAUUGAUGCUCGAAAGUGUGGGUAUCAAACAGGAUUAGAUACCCGUGUAGUC
rnacentral:rRNA from 1 species